GAGUUUGAUCAUGGCUCAGAUUGAACGCUGGCGGCAUGCCUUACACAUGCAAGUCGAACGGCAGCACGGGAGCUUGCUCCUGGUGGCGAGUGGCGAACGGGUGAGUAAUGCAUCGGAACGUAUCCUGGAGUGGGGGAUAACGUAGCGAAAGUUACGCUAAUACCGCAUAUUCUGUGAGCAGGAAAGCGGGGGACCUUCGGGCCUCGCGCUCUUGGAGCGGCCGAUGUCGGAUUAGCUAGUUGGUGAGGUAAAGGCUCACCAAGGCGACGAUCCGUAGCAGGUCUGAGAGGAUGAUCUGCCACACUGGAACUGAGACACGGUCCAGACUCCUACGGGAGGCAGCAGUGGGGAAUUUUGGACAAUGGGGGCAACCCUGAUCCAGCCAUGCCGCGUGAGUGAAGAAGGCCUCGGUUGUAAGUACGUCUUCGUCG
rnacentral:rRNA from 1 species